rnacentral:rRNA from 1 species
UACGAAGGGUGCUAGCGUUGCUCGGAAUCACUGGGCGUAAAGCGCACGUAGGCGGUUUGUUAAGUCAGGGGUGAAAUCCUGGAGCUCAACUCCAGAACUGCCUUUGAUACUGGCGAUCUUGAGUCCGGGAGAGGUGAGUGGAACUCCGAGUGUAGAGGUGAAAUUCGUAGAUAUUCGGAAGAACACCAGUGGCGAAGGCGGCUCACUGGCCCGGUACUGACGCUGAGGUGCGAAAGCGUGGGGAGCAAACAGG